GGGGCGCAAUGCUCCGUCCUUACAAAGCUCGCGCAGGGGGCGGCUUCGAAGACUGCAAAGCAUUUAAUUUGCAAUCGUGUAUAGCAUUCUUUGGAGCAUGCGCAGCAUUAUUUCUUUUGCAGUUUCUUUUGCAAAAAUAACAAGAACCAAAAAAGAGAGAGAGAGAGAGAGAGAGAGAGAGAGAGAGAGAGAGAGAGAGAGAGCGCCUUUUGAAUAGUCUUCAAAGUCUCCCCGCGCAAAGUGCGGUGACGUGGUGUACAAGGAUUUAACAGUGCGUGCAAUUCGCAGCACUCCAGCCAGCAGCCUGUGUGAACGGCAUGGACCACCAUGCUGCUGUGACCGUGCGACGUGCCACUCCGUCAUCGAGCGUUGCUGUUGGUGCCACCACCACUGCUACUGCUACCCCCGCCCUCCAUCCCUCCCUCCCCCGCGCUGCGACCUGCCACUCUACGCCGGUGCUCGCGUUAAUAUCGCAACGACACACGUGCCGACGUAUCGUUCAUUGAAAAUAAAUCGAGCGUCGCUCGGCAACGUCCAUAUCGAUAGUUUAUGACGGCAUAACGGAGGGGGCCAGCGGAGUGACAAACCCAUCGCUCCCCCUCCUCCCUCCUCCCCCUCCCACUGCCAGACAGGACGGGCCCUUCCUGCCCGCCCGUGUCCUUGGGCGCGACGCGGGGGGAGGGGGGGCCUGUUGGGGAAUGUAUGGCGCGGAGGGGCCCGGCCAGCCCCUGCUGGUCCAGCCCAGCAUCCCCGGCCGCGGCCCCGGCCAAGGACCAUAGCCAGGAUGAAAUUCUGUUUGGAACAAAUCCUCCUCCUCCGCGAGGUGGCUCGCUGGCCAGGGCCGCCUCCACCGCCCCGCCUGUAACGUGUAUGGGAUUUCCCUCCAGGCUUGCCCGAAAGUCGUGGGGUAUCCUCUCGUGGGAGGAGGCGAUACCCCAUGCACUGGCGAGCCUGGCAGGUCUGUCUGCUGAGCGGCGCGCUGGUCGCGUCGGCUGCUCGGUCCCCCCUCCCCUCCCCUCGCCUGCGUGGUCCGGCCGGCCGGAGGCUGGGCGGCGCUGGGCUCGGUCACUUUGACGGAGGAGCGGUGGCGAGCGGUUGGCUCAGAGCGUCUUGUUAACGCCAACAUUUACACCUGUCGUGCCGGCGUGCUUUUCCACCUUGAAUGCUCGGGUGUUGAUUUACGUGUGUCUGAGUACACUACGUGUGUAAUUCCUCCGUAUGGAGUGUCUACCCGUUUGGGUUUCGCCCUGUGAGCCGCGGCGCCACAGCAUGUCCGGCUAGAGGCCGUAGAGCGGCCGUCCCAGCGACGGCGCCACCACAAUGAGUCCGGAUCGAGGCGCCAGGGCCCGUGGGGCUGGCGGUCCUCGUGGACGUCCGCAACUUUGUUUCUGAAAGUAAGCUACGCGCUUGGCGCACCUCUCCCGCUCCUCUACGUCCGGCUUGUGUGAUUGUUUGAUGUGUUGAUGAACAGUGAUUUUGUAGCCAAAGUACAUGACUGUUUAGUCCGUGACUAAUUUCUGUGUGUCACCGUUCGAACCCUUUGGGGCACUCGCGGUCGGGGGCGACGCGGGGGGCCCGCGGUGGUCUAGGCUAAGUGCGUCAUGCCUCGUGGCGUACUCAGGCUGCCGAGGGUCUCCCAGCGUUACUUCCGGUCGCGAGGGUUCUUUUGAGUUUUAGUCUCAAUAUCAGUUAUGGCUCAUUGUACCGAGUUGUUCGUUUUUGUACUCUGUAUUUUUAUUCUAUUUUCUGGUGUGAAAUCGUGGUAGCCUAUUCAAUGAAUACGUGUCAUGUACUCAUUCGGAUUUCUCUAAUGUGUGCUUUGCACUUUCUUGUUUAAUAAACAUUCAAUUUAUCUCUUACCGUA